GGUUUAGAGUCUCUAGAUGGAGUAUGAAAGUCGCACGCGAGGAGGAGGUUGCUUCGGUAACUGACCUAGCGGCGGACGGGUGAGUAAUGCUUAGGAAUCUGCCUAUUAGUGGGGGACAACAUUCCGAAAGGGAUGCUAAUACCGCAUACGCCCUACGGGGGAAAGCAGGGGAUCUUCGGACCUUGCGCUAAUAGAUGAGCCUAAGUCGGAUUAGCUAGUUGGUGGGGUAAAGGCCUACCAAGGCGACGAUCUGUAGCGGGUCUGAGAGGAUGAUCCGCCACACUGGGACUGAGACACGGCCCAGACUCCUACGGGAGGCAGCAGUGGGGAAUAUUGGACAAUGGGCGGAAGCCUGAUCCAGCCAUGCCGCGUGUGUGAAGAAGGCCUUUUGGUUGUAAAGCACUUUAAGCGAGGAGGAGGCUCUUAAGGUUAAUACCCUUGAUGAGUGGACGUUACUCGCAGAAUAAGCACCGGCUAACUCUGUGCCAGCAGCCGCGGUAAUACAGAGGGUGCGAGCGUUAAUCGGAUUUACUGGGCGUAAAGCGUGCGUAGGCGGCUGAUUAAGUCGGAUGUGAAAUCCCUGAGCUUAACUUAGGAAUUGCAUUCGAUACUGGUCAGCUAGAGUAUGGGAGAGGAUGGUAGAAUUCCAGGUGUAGCGGUGAAAUGCGUAGAGAUCUGGAGGAAUACCGAUGGCGAAGGCAGCCAUCUGGCCUAAUACUG
rnacentral:rRNA from 2 species